UGGGGAACAUUGCACAAUGGGCGCAAGCCUGAUGCAGCCAUGCCGCGUGUAUGAAGAAGGCCUUCGGGUUGUAAAGUACUUUCAGCGGGGAGGAAGGCGAUAAGGUUAAUAACCUUGUCGAUUGACGUUACCCGCAGAAGAAGCACCGGCUAACUCCGUGCCAGCAGCCGCGGUAAUACGGAGGGUGCAAGCGUUAAUCGGAAUUACUGGGCGUAAUGCGCACGCAGGCGGUCUGUCAAGUCGGAUGUGAAAUCCCCGGGCUCAACCUGGGAACUGCAUUCGAAACUGGCAGGCUAGAGUCUUGUAGAGGGGGGUAGAAUUCCAGGUGUAGCGGUGAAAUGCGUAGAGAUCUGGAGGAAUACCGGUGGCGAAGGCGGCCCCCUGGACAAAGACUGACGCUCAGGUGCGAAAGCGUGGGGAGCAAACA
rnacentral:rRNA from 1 species